GGCUUAACACAUGCAAGUCGAGCGCCCCGCAAGGGGAGCGGCAGACGGGAGAGUAACACGUGGGAACGUGCCCUUUGGUCUGGAAUAACUCAGGGAAACUUGAGCUAAUGCCGGAUACGCCCUUCGGGGGAAAGAUUUAUCGCCAUUGGAGCGGCCCGCGUCUGAUUAGCUAGUUGGUGAGGUAACGGCUCACCAAGGCGACGAUCAGUAGCUGGUCUGAGAGGAUGACCAGCCUCAUUGGGACUGAGACACGGCCCAAACUCCUACGGGAGGCAGCAGUGGGGAAUAUUGGACAAUGGGCGAAAGCCUGAUCCAGCCAUGCCGCGUGAGUGAUGAAGGCCUUAGGGUUGUAAAGCUC
rnacentral:rRNA from 1 species